rnacentral:pre_miRNA from 11 species
GUCACUGUCAGAGACAGGACUGUUGGUCCCAGUCCAUGGUUCAGAAAAACGGGUGGUGGGCACAGACUCUGCCUGUGGC